rnacentral:rRNA from 1 species
ACUUAAAUUGAAGAGUUUGAUCAUGGCUCAGAUUGAACGCUGGCGGCAGGCCUAACACAUGCAAGUCGAGCGGUAGCACAGAGAGCUUGCUCUCGGGUGACGAGCGGCGGACGGGUGAGUAAUGUCUGGGAAACUGCCUGAUGGAGGGGGAUAACUACUGGAAACGGUAGCUAAUACCGCAUAACGUCGCAAGACCAAAGUGGGGGACCUUCGGGCCUCAUGCCAUCAGAUGUGCCCAGAUGGGAUUAGCUAGUAGGUGGGGUAACGGCUCACCUAGGCGACGAUCCCUAGCUGGUCUGAGAGGAUGACCAGCCACACUGGAACUGAGACACGGUCCAGACUCCUACGGGAGGCAGCAGUGGGGAAUAUUGCACAAU